UAGGAUUUGAUUUAGGGUUAGGAUUUGGUUAGGGUUUGAUUUAGGAUUUAGGAUUUGGUUGGGAUUUGAUUUAGGGUUAGGAUUUAUUUAGGAUUUGAUUAGGAUUUAAGAUUUGGUUUAAGAUUUAGGAUUAGGAUUUAUUUAGGAUUUGAUUAGGAUUUAAGAUUUGGUUUAAGAUUUAGGAUUAUUAAUCUUGAUAUAAGCAAUCCAUCUUAAUAUUACAAUAUCUAGUAAUAAAUAAUUAGUAAUCAUUUUAAGCAAUGGCAAGCAAUCUAUUUCAAUUAUUAUAGUUAUUCCAAUUAAAUAAAAAUUUUCAGCUUUCAUAAUUGAAACAACUCUUUUAUAGUUCUCUUUUGACUUGAGAAUAUAUACGCUGCUGAGUACUUAAAACUUUAGUUCUAAAUCAAAUUGCAAACUUGUUCCUUUUUUAAUCUUUAUCUACAAUCUAUCCAAUAGUAAUAGGACUAAUUCUAAAGUAAGUAUUAUUUACUUAUUAUAUUCAUAAUUA
rnacentral:lncRNA from 1 species